UUGCGUCGCGUUGUAGCGCGUGCCACGGAUCUUCGAAGGCGAACAGAAAUGGCAACAUUUCCAACAUUG
rnacentral:rRNA from 1 species